rnacentral:rRNA from 1 species
AGCUCCAAUAGCGUAUAUUAAAGUUGUUGCGGUUAAAAAGCUCGUAGUUGGAUUUCUGCCGUGGACGACCGGUCCGCUCUCUGGGCGUGCAUCUGGAUCGGCCUGGGCAUCCUCUUGGGGAACGUAGCUGCACUUGACUGUGUGGUGCGGUAUCCAGGACUUUUACUUUGAGGAAAUUAGAGUGUUUCAAGCAGGCAAUUGCCUUGAAUACAUUAGCAUGGAAUAAUAAGAUGGAACCUCGGUUCUAUUUGGUUGGUUUCUAGAGCUGAGGUAAUGAUUAAUAGGGAUAAUUGGGGGCAUUCGUAUUUAACUGUCAGAGGUGAAAUUCUUGGAUUUGUUAAAGACUGACUACUGCGAAAGCAUUUGCCAAGGAUGUUUUCA